GAUGAACGCUGGCGGCGUGCCUAAUACAUGCAAGUCGAGCGAACGGACGAGAAGCUUGCUUCUCUGAUGUUAGCGGCGGACGGGUGAGUAACACGUGGAUAACCUACCUAUAAGACUGGGAUAACUUCGGGAAACCGGAGUUAAUACCGGAUAAUAUUUUGAACCGCAUGGUUCAAAAGUGAAAGACGGUCUUGCUGUCACUUAUAGAUGGAUCCGCGCUGCAUUAGCUAGUUGGUAAGGUAACGGCUUACCAAGGCAACGAUGGAUAGCCGACGUUAGAGGGUGAUCGGCGACAGUGGGACUGAGACACGGUCCUGACUCCUACGGGAGGCAGCGGUAGGGAAUCUUCCGAGAUGGGCGGAAGCCUGACGGAGGAACGCAGCGUGAGUGAUGAAGGUCUUCGGAUCGUAAAACUGUGUUAGUAGGGAAGAACAUAUGUGUAAGUAACUGAGCACAGCGUGACGGUACUUAAUCAAAAAGCCACGGCUAACUACGUG
rnacentral:rRNA from 1 species